AGCUCCAAUAGCGUAUAUUAAAGUUGUUGUGGUUAAAAAGCUCGUAUUUGGAUCUCGGCGGUCUGGGGGCGGUUCGCUUGUUUGGGGGCUCCUGCUCUAUGGGCCGGGGUUUUCCCAGAGGUCUCGGGGGGCUCUUAACCGGGGGUCCUGCGAUGCUGGCAGGUUUACUUUGAAAAAAUUAGAGUGCUCAAAGCAGGCUUUUACGCCUGAAUAUUCGUGCAUGGAAUAAUAGAAUAGGAAGUCGUUUCUAUUUUGUUGGUUUUCGGAAAUCGACUUAAUGAUUAAUAGGGACAGUCGGGGGCAUUUGUAUUCAAACGACAGAGGUGAAAUUCUUGGACCGUUUGAAGACAAACUACUGCGAAAGCAUUUGCCAAGAAUGUUUUCA
rnacentral:rRNA from 1 species